AAAAUGUAGGCAUCAUUAGGUGCUGAUUGUUCAUGCCUACUCAGGAGGUUGAUAGCUAAAGAUGGUGGUUCAAAGCCAGCCCAAUUAACCAGCAAAAAGCCAGAAGCAGAAGUGCAGCUCGAGUGGUCAAGUACCAAUCUUGAAAGGAAAAAGCAAAGCAACAGCAAAAAGGUCCUGAGUUCAAACCCUAGUACCAACACCAAGACAAAAACAAACACAAAGGAACACUCACAUUUCCUCACUAUUUCCUGCUGUCACCCCUUUGACUCAAACAGAAUCCCUUGCUUGGAAAAUUAACCUGUCACUUCCCCCUAUCAAAAAUCUUACCCCAGGAGGGACACUCCUGUUUUAGAGGCUGUGACCUCCCAGGGGAAAAAAAAAUCUUACCCCGAGGGCUGGAAAGGUGGCUUAGUGUUAAGUGCUUGCUUAGCAUGCAUGAAGCCCUGGGUAUGAUUCUGCA